GAAGCAGCCAUCAUUUAAAGAAAGCGUAAUAGCUCACUGGUCGAGUCGGCCUGCGCGGAAGAUGUAACGGGGCUAAACCAUGCACCGAAGCUGCGGCAGCGACGCUGAUGCGUUGUUGGGUAGGGGAGCGUUCUGUAAGCCUGCGAAGGUGGCCUGUGAGGGUUGCUGGAGGUAUCAGAAGUGCGAAUGCUGACAUAAGUAACGAUAAAGCGGGUGAAAAGCCCGCUCGCCGGAAGACCAAGGGUUCCUGUCCAACGUUAAUCGGGGCAGGGUGAGUCGACCCCUAAGGCGAGGCCGAAAGGCGUAGUCGAUGGGAAACGGGUUAAUAUUCCCGUACUUGGUGUUACUGCGAAGGGGGGACGGAGAAGGCUAUGUUGGCCGGGCGACGGUUGUCCCGGUUUAAGCGUGUAGGUGUGUGUUCCAGGUAAAUCCGGUUCACUUUAACACUGAGGCGUGAUGACGAGGCACUACGGUGCUGAAGCAACAAAUGCCCUGCUUCCAGGAAAAGCCUCUAAGCAUCAGGUAACAUCAAAUCGUACCCCAAACCGACACAGGUGGUCAGGUAGAGAAUACCAAGGCGCUUGAGAGAACUCGGGUGAAGGAACUAGGCAAAAUGGUGCCGUAACUUCGGGAGAAGGCACGCUGACACGUAGGUGAAGUGAUUUACUCAUGGAGCUGAAGUCAGUCGAAGAUACCAGCUGGCUGCAACUGUUUAUUAAAAACACAGCACUGUGCAAACACGAAAGUGGACGUAUACGGUGUGACGCCUGCCCGGUGCCGGAAGGUUAAUUGAUGGGGUCAGCGCAAGCGAAGCUCCUGAUCGAAGCCCCGGUAAACGGCGGCCGUAACUAUAACGGUCCUAAGGUAGCGAAAUUCCUUGUCGGGUAAGUUCCGACCUGCACGAAUGGCGUAAUGAUGGCCAGGCUGUCUCCACCCGAGACUCAGUGAAAUUGAACUCGCUGUGAAGAUGCAGUGUACCCGCGGCAAGACGGAAAGACCCCGUGAACCUUUACUAUAGCUUGACACUGAACAUUGAGCCUUGAUGUGUAGGAUAGGUGGGAGGCUUUGAAGUGUGGACGCCAGUCUGCAUGGAGCCGACCUUGAAAUACCACCCUUUAAUGUUUGAUGUUCUAACGUGGACCCGUGAUCCGGGUUGCGGACAGUGUCUGGUGGGUAGUUUGACUGGGGCGGUCUCCUCCUAAAGAGUAACGGAGGAGCACGAAGGUUGGCUAAUCCUGGUCGGACAUCAGGAGGUUAGUGCAAUGGCAUAAGCCAGCUUGACUGCGAGCGUGACGGCGCGAGCAGGUGCGAAAGCAGGUCAUAGUGAUCCGGUGGUUCUGAAUGGAAGGGCCAUCGCUCAACGGAUAAAAGGUACUCCGGGGAUAACAGGCUGAUACCGCCCAAGAGUUCAUAUCGACGGCGGUGUUUGGCACCUCGAUGUCGGCUCAUCACAUCCUGGGGCUGAAGUAGGUCCCAAGGGUAUGGCUGUUCGCCAUUUAAAGUGGUACGCGAGCUGGGUUUAGAACGUCGUGAGACAGUUCGGUCCCUAUCUGCCGUGGGCGCUGGAGAACUGAGGGGGGCUGCUCCUAGUACGAGAGGACCGGAGUGGACGCAUCACUGGUGUUCGGGUUGUCAUGCCAAUGGCACUGCCCGGUAGCUAAAUGCGGAAGAGAUAAGUGCUGAAAGCAUCUAAGCACGAAACUUGCCCCGAGAUGAGUUCUCCCUGAGACUUUAGGUCUCCUGAAGGAACGUUGAAGACGACGACGUUGAUAGGCCGGGUGUGUAAGCGCAGCGAUGCGUUGAGCUAACCGGUACUAAUGAACCGUGAGGCUUAACCUUACA
rnacentral:rRNA from 1 species